rnacentral:lncRNA from 1 species
AAGAAUUUUCACGCAUUCCUGAGACCUACGAAGGUCCCUAAUCCAGUGUGCCCUAGGCUGUUUGCCUAUGCUAAGACACAUAAAACCCCCAUCGCGUUUAGGCCUAUUAUUGAAAACAGAUCGCCUACGUACAAUUUAGAAAAAACUAGCCAAAUGGAUGAAUGGACACCUGAAAGACCAUCCUUACACAGUACCGUCUUCCCAAGACUUUUUAAGUAAAGCAAGAUCUAUCUCCCUUGAAGGAGGUGAAACCUUAGCGACUUAUGAUUUCGAUAAAUUGUACCCUUCUCUUAAUAUAGCCCCUGUCUGUCUCAACCUCUACAGAUUCUUAGAGAGAAUACCAGAAGCCUCCGCAUUAUGCCGAACUUUAUAGAGACCUAGCAUACCUCUUAUGCCAUAGGUCGUAUUUCACAUUUAAUAAUAAGUUUUACAAGCAAUCAAAUGCGUCCCUAUAGGGAGCCCUCUCGCAGGGACCUUAGCAGAGUUAAUCUUGACGUUAGAGAAAUCGAUACUGUCUACAACAAUUAGACCGGCGCGGCUUUACACAAGGUAUGUAGACGACAUAUUUGCUAUAUGGGAAGAAGGAACAGACCCCGAGGAAUUGUCCAAAGCGUUCACCCUGCAACCGUACGGGUUAAAGCUAAAGAUGGAACAACUAAGCCAGCACAAUGUGCACUUUUUGGACGCAGAUCUGAAAGUUAACG